GCUGUUGACUCUUUGGCGCAUUCCGGAACUUUGUGCGUGCGGCGUAUGUGUGCGGGUUGCGUGAUGUGUUUACUGCGUUUUCUGUGCCCUUUGCCUCGCUGUGACAUCUUUGGUAUAUUCCAACUUGUUGCUCGCUCUUUAUGGGCUACACGUUGCCUCGAAGAUCACCAUGAUCGCCUCCGACUCAGCCACAUCGAAGAAUCAAAAUGAGCCUGGAGACACCACAGCCGGAAUGCGAAAGGUUGGAGAAGUGCUCAUUCAGAUGAUCCUGGCACAGCUUGCCAUGGUGGACCAGGCAAGUUUGCAAGGGCCUUGAUUCACCAUGUGUUCACAAAGAAGAACCUCAUGGGCCACUCACUUCUCGGAAACAACACCACCAAUAGGCAAAAACAGGCUCUUGGCCUUAUCAGGGUCAACACUGUUAUAGGCAAGUACCAUACAUCCUUUUUCCCAUUGCAUUUUUGCAUUCACAUUUUGUACUUGGAAUUACCAGCUUGCUAUUAGCACAACAAAUAACUUUCAAGUAGCCUGUGUCUGCAACUACGUGCUACAAUAGCCUACUAUUUGGAAUGAAUGUUCACUUGAUCUCAAGUCUCUAACGCCUCCAUACUAAAGUGCUAAAUUUUAAAAGCAGCCUUAACUGCCAGAAGUUAUUGGUGGCUCCAACUGACAAAGUUAGGUGUAUUUGCGCAUUAGUUGCACUACUUGACUGUCAUUGCAAUGAAUAGUUGCAAUGAAGCAACUACCAAUCUGUAGUACCAAUCUGUGAAGCACGCUACCAAUCUGGUGGUAUAGAGGGUGUGCUUAAGUAGCCUGAAAGUGUUGUUAUAAUUGUGGAGAAGCUAUGCUCAAGUGCAGUUACUGCUCAACUCGAGGGACAACACUUCCACCAAAUUUCAGCAAUCAAAAUGGCCCUCCAGAUUCUGUAACGCAAAACAUAGUGGUUUCACCUAUUUCAACAGACCACAUUGAAUUAAAGUUGCUCCUGUCUUGAAGGAGGUCCAUGUGGUGGCAGACAGUAGCCUUAGGUGGCAGACAGUAGCAGACAGUAGACAGGGAGCUUAAGUUACGGGGCAUAAUUGUUGGGUUGUUUCGAUCAAAGCAACAAUAGGAACAGUUGCCAACUUCGUUGUCAACAUUGCUAUGUUUAGCAAUGUCCAUUCAUUCUAGGCACUCAACCUAUUAAGAUCCAAUUUAUCACAUUGUAUUCUAAGAUGUGGAAAAAACAAAGGUAUUUAUUUGACUUUUCCUCACGUUCCCAUAAAAUGAUCAGUACUCAAUAGGCCCUUGGCAGCUACUAUAUAAAGCUUCUUACAGAACAUGAAGCAUGUCCACAGCUCCCACUCUGAAAUUGUUGGAAAUGUCUCCUGCUUUCUUACUUCAAGGACGCACUUGCCUGUUUUCAGCGUUAUUAUAAACCAGUGGUCAAGUACUAUGGGUUUAGCUUUAUUAAAGAUUGAAUGAGCUUUGUAGGUGUUCAUGUUUAACCCUUUGAGGAUCACAUAUUUUCUGGAAAUACGUCCCCCAAUUUAAGCAUUAUAUUUUUAUUCUGGAUUGUUCUUCAGAGUGACGUUUCGAGAAAAAAAAUGGGUAAAUAAUUUUUUAGGUCACAAAGUGACAAAGGUUUCUUAGUGUGCACAGUUUUACACCAUGUUUAUUGUAGCAUGCAGGGCAAACUAGCAUAAUCACAUUUUUAAAAUGUAAUGACACUCACAAAACAUUAAACUAGGUGAAUACUCCCAAACUACUGCAGUGAUGGGCACCAUAGAGUAAAGAGAAAGAUCAGUUUUGUAAGAAGCCAAGGGGCAACAGCACAAUCAGGAUUUUUGUAGAAGUCGCAGAAGGUUACAGAAUCUGUAAUGUGAUGCUUGGGGACACUUCAUUCUUAAAAGGCAUGCUUAUUUAUAUGUUCUUUCGCCGCCUCAUAUUUAUGGUCGUGACCACACGAUUUGUUUCCGCCACUCUACAUGCAUGGCAGUGACCCUCAAAGGAUUAGCAGAGUCAGUCCACUUGCAUAUUUCUCUUGUAAGACUGAGCAUUUCUUCGUAUUUCUUCUUCGCAUUUAUUUGUGUUAGUGUAACCAGGUUGGCGCGCAACUGCAGUAAAUCCUCGUUAUAAGCAGUAAUUUCUUUUAAGUAGAGAGGCAUAAGAAUGGCUAUCAUAAUGCGAGAAGUUCACUCCAGUAGCAUAUGAGCUCGUAAAACAAAUUCAGAUAUACCAUACUCAAUUCUGGUCA